rnacentral:lncRNA from 1 species
UCCUCUACCUUCAGAGGGCUGCCCUCUUUAUGAAAGGAACAUGCAGGCAUUUUAUCAUGAAUGGCUGCUUGCUUUGUACCUUCAGAUGGUCUUUCGUCUUGACCCUCCCUCGUGGUUGACUUUUUCACCUCUCCAUUCAAGAGAUGCCCAGCUGGGAAGUGGGAAAUUGGCAGGCUACUGCCCAGCCUUGAUGAAGAAUAGAANUGUCGCAAAGGGAGAGAGAAAGUUUGCUAGCAGACUGAAGAAAUCAUAGCGGAUUAUGAACUUUUGUCAAUAGUUUUGAAGCAAACGUUUAAUUGUUGGAAGAGGCAAGCAUUUGUCAAGGAAAUGAACGACAGUGGCUAGCCUAUAAGGGCAAAGCAGGCAGUGUCCCAUUGGUAUCCACUAGCUCCCAAGCUGGAGUCCACUCCUCCUUUCUGCCUGUUUCAAUUCAAGGUUGGCCGAUAAAUGCACAGUAAAAAUGGGGGAAAAACUAAAAUAUUUUAUAAAAUAUUUUGUGUCAUGUCAAGAGAUUUGAAGAACCAUCAUGUUUGAAAGGAGUGGAAGAAAAGGAGCAAUCCUGGGAGCAUCUUACAUCAGGCUCAACAUAGUGCCCCCUAUACCUGCAUUACUGUAUUGUAUUCUUGCAAUCCAAUUUCAUGUAAAGUAUGCCAUUUCAUGAGAUCUGUGUGAAAAGUGGUAUACAAAAUACAAACAAUCUUUUUUAAUCUCAAAAAUUUUGAAUUUCUCUCCCACCUCAUUCUAGCAUGGCUGAGGGGAGAACUUUCCAGACCAAGAUUUUACAAUCUUUUAUAUUUUGGGCAAUACAAAAAAUAGAUAAUAAGAUUAAGAAAUGAUACACACUGCAGCUCCCUAAAUUUUAUUAAAAAAACUGUUAUUCUUCUACCAUAGAAUAGAUAACAAAGUAUUCAUACUUAAUAUUAGUAAAGUCAUCUUUCAAUCUAUGCAGCCUACCAAAGGUAUUCUUUUUAGUUGCCAUUUUUAAACUAUUUACAGACUUGCUUGCUUAUUUUUAAAUGACCAAAUGUUAGUGGGAGAGGGAACAAGAUGAGAAAGUUUAUGGNCUCUUCAAAGUUGAAUGAACAGACAAGUGAUUUUCAGAUUUCCUCUAAGGUAAGAUUUCUCAGUAGCACAAAGACAUGGGAGUCCACACAUUAAGAGCUCAUCUACACCUAAGUUUUAAUUCAGCUGCAGUCCACCUUUGGAGUGAGAAAACACAUCAGCAAAGUGCCUAGUCAGUUUCUUUCCACAUUAUCUAACCCAAAGGUGAAUUUUCUGCGUUAAAUAAUGCCAAGGGAAACCAGCUUGUACUUUGCUGAUGUGUUCUCAGUCUGAAAGUGGACUGAUGCUGAAUUAAAACUUAAGGUGUAGAUGGGUCAUUAUGAUAAAAGGAAGGAGGAGAUCCAGUGCUGUGAAAAAGUAUUUGCCCCCUUCCUCAUAUUACUGCUUAGUAGAAAGAUUCAAAGUAAAUAAAAAUAUAUCAGUUUGCCCCA